rnacentral:rRNA from 2 species
GGUUAAGCGACUAAGCGUACACGGUGGAUGCCCUGGCAGUCAGAGGCGAUGAAGGGCGUACUAAUCUGCGAUAAGCGCCGGUAAGGUGAUAUGAACCGUUAUAACCGGCGAUACCCGAAUGGGGAAACCCAGUGUGAUUCGUCACACUAUCAUUAACUGAAUCCAUAGGUUAAUGAGGCGAACCGGGGGAACUGAAACAUCUAAGUACCCCGAGGAAAAGAAAUCAACCGAGAUUCCCCCAGUAGCGGCGAGCGAACGGGGAGGAGCCCAGAGCCUGAAUCAGCAUGUGUGUUAGUGGAAGCGUCUGGAAAGGCGCGCGAUACAGGGUGACAGCCCCGUACACAAAAGCGCAUGUGCUGUGAGCUCGAUGAGUAGGGCGGGACACGUGGUAUCCUGUCUGAAUAUGGGGGGACCAUCCUCCAAGGCUAAAUACUCCUGACUGACCGAUAGUGAACCAGUACCGUGAGGGAAAGGCGAAAAGAACCCCGGCGAGGGGAGUGAAAAAGAACCUGAAACCGUGUACGUACAAGCAGUGGGAGCACAGGUUUACCUGUGUGACUGCGUACCUUUUGUAUAAUGGGUCAGCGACUUAUAUUCUGUAGCAAGGUUAACCGAAUAGGGGAGCCGGAGGGAAACCGAGUCUUAAUUGGGCGUUAAGUUGCAGGGUAUAGACCCGAAACCCGGUGAUCUAGCCAUGGGCAGGUUGAAGGUUGGGUAACACUAACUGGAGGACCGAACCGACUAAUGUUGAAAAAUUAGCGGAUGACCUGUGGCUGGGGGUGAAAGGCCAAUCAAACCGGGAGAUAGCUGGUUCUCCCCGAAAGCUAUUUAGGUAGCGCCUCGUGAAUUCAUCUCCGGGGGUAGAGCACUGUUUCGGCUAGGGGGCCAUCCCGGCUUACCAACCCGAUGCAAACUGCGAAUACCGGAGAAUGUUAUCACGGGAGACACACGGCGGGUGCUAACGUCCGUCGUGAAGAGGGAAACAACCCAGACCGCCAGCUAAGGUCCCAAAGUCAUGGUUAAGUGGGAAACGAUGUGGGAAGGCCCAGACAGCCAGGAUGUUGGCUUAGAAGCAGCCAUCAUUUAAAGAAAGCGUAAUAGCUCACUGGUCGAGUCGGCCUGCGCGGAAGAUGUAACGGGGCUAAACCAUGCACCGAAGCUGCGGCAGCGACACUGUGUGUUGUUGGGUAGGGGAGCGUUCUGUAAGCCUGUGAAGGUGUGUCGUGAGGCAUGCUGGAGGUAUCAGAAGUGCGAAUGCUGACAUAAGUAACGAUAAAGCGGGUGAAAAGCCCGCUCGCCGGAAGACCAAGGGUUCCUGUCCAACGUUAAUCGGGGCAGGGUGAGUCGACCCCUAAGGCGAGGCCGAAAGGCGUAGUCGAUGGGAAACGGGUUAAUAUUCCCGUACUUGGUGUUACUGCGAAGGGGGGACGGAGAAGGCUAUGUUGGCCGGGCGACGGUUGUCCCGGUUUAAGCGUGUAGGUGUGUGUUCCAGGUAAAUCCGGUUCACUUUAACACUGAGGCGUGACGACGAGGCACUACGGUGCUGAAGCAACAAAUGCCCUGCUUCCAGGAAAAGCCUCUAAGCAUCAGGUAACAUCAAAUCGUACCCCAAACCGACACAGGUGGUCAGGUAGAGAAUACCAAGGCGCUUGAGAGAACUCGGGUGAAGGAACUAGGCAAAAUGGUGCCGUAACUUCGGGAGAAGGCACGCUGACACGUAGGUGAAGUGAUUUACUCAUGGAGCUGAAGUCAGUCGAAGAUACCAGCUGGCUGCAACUGUUUAUUAAAAACACAGCACUGUGCAAACACGAAAGUGGACGUAUACGGUGUGACGCCUGCCCGGUGCCGGAAGGUUAAUUGAUGGGGUCAGCGCAAGCGAAGCUCCUGAUCGAAGCCCCGGUAAACGGCGGCCGUAACUAUAACGGUCCUAAGGUAGCGAAAUUCCUUGUCGGGUAAGUUCCGACCUGCACGAAUGGCGUAAUGAUGGCCAGGCUGUCUCCACCCGAGACUCAGUGAAAUUGAACUCGCUGUGAAGAUGCAGUGUACCCGCGGCAAGACGGAAAGACCCCGUGAACCUUUACUAUAGCUUGACACUGAACAUUGAGCCUUGAUGUGUAGGAUAGGUGGGAGGCUUUGAAGUGUGGACGCCAGUCUGCAUGGAGCCGACCUUGAAAUACCACCCUUUAAUGUUUGAUGUUCUAACGUGGACCCGUUACCCGGGUUGCGGACAGUGUCUGGUGGGUAGUUUGACUGGGGCGGUCUCCUCCUAAAGAGUAACGGAGGAGCACGAAGGUUGGCUAAUCCUGGUCGGACAUCAGGAGGUUAGUGCAAUGGCAUAAGCCAGCUUGACUGCGAGCGUGACGGCGCGAGCAGGUGCGAAAGCAGGUCAUAGUGAUCCGGUGGUUCUGAAUGGAAGGGCCAUCGCUCAACGGAUAAAAGGUACUCCGGGGAUAACAGGCUGAUACCGCCCAAGAGUUCAUAUCGACGGCGGUGUUUGGCACCUCGAUGUCGGCUCAUCACAUCCUGGGGCUGAAGUAGGUCCCAAGGGUAUGGCUGUUCGCCAUUUAAAGUGGUACGCGAGCUGGGUUUAGAACGUCGUGAGACAGUUCGGUCCCUAUCUGCCGUGGGCGCUGGAGAACUGAGGGGGGCUGCUCCUAGUACGAGAGGACCGGAGUGGACGCAUCACUGGUGUUCGGGUUGUCAUGCCAAUGGCACUGCCCGGUAGCUAAAUGCGGAAGAGAUAAGUGCUGAAAGCAUCUAAGCACGAAACUUGCCCCGAGAUGAGUUCUCCCUGAGACUUAGAGUCUCCUGAAGGAACGUUGAAGACGACGACGUUGAUAGGCCGGGUGUGUAAGCGCAGCGAUGCGUUGAGCUAACCGGUACUAAUGAACCGUGAGGCUUAACCUU